GGUUACGAAGGCUGCCGCCAAGACUGAAGAAACAGGAGUUUUCUGAGGUCUACCAUCAGCCUCAUCCAACUUAGCAGGAAUUGUAGGACCCUUUUCUGGAUCUGUGACAGGGACUUGGGUUUCUAUUGCUGUGAUAUGACCAAAAGAAACUUGGGAAGAGUUUGUGUCAUCUUGUUCUUCCACAUCACAGUCUGUCAAAGGAAGUGAAGGCAAGAACUUGGAGCUUGCUCCAUUUGCAAAACACUCUCUUCAUACGAGGCAGCUUUGAAAUUUUCUUUGUCAAUACAAAUAAUCUAAAUCUCCUCGCCUUAACUUCAGACACACUCUUCAGACAAGGGCAAAAAGCAGCCACACUCAUCACCAAAAUAUCACAAGAAUGAUCUCUAGGCAAAAUACUAUGAUUCUUCUCAGAAAACUCUGGAGCCAGGCCCCAACAGUUCAAACUACCCUUACCACCAAUGUCUUCCACAUUCACUUUGGAGUGGCCCAUUAAGCCCUGCUUAAAGCAUUUUACUCUUUUCCUAAUCCAAAUAAAUCCAUAGUUCCU
rnacentral:lncRNA from 1 species